GAUGAACGCUGGCGGCGUGCCUAAUACAUGCAAGUCGAGCGAACGGACGAGAAGCUUGCUUCUCUGAUGUUAGCGGCGGACGGGUGAGUAACACGUGGAUAACCUACCUAUAAGACUGGGAUAACUUCGGGAAACCGGAGCUAAUACCGGAUAAUAUUUUGAACCGCAUGGUUCAAAGGUGAAAGACGGUCUUGCUGUCACUUAUAGAUGGAUCCGCGCUGCAUUAGCUAGUUGGUAAGGUAACGGCUUACCAAGGCAACGAUGCAUAGCCGACCUGAGAGGGUGAUCGCCCACACUGGAACUGGAACACGGUCCAGACUCCUACGGGAGGCAGCAGUAGGGAAUCUUCCGCAAUGGGCGAAAGCCUGACGGAGCAACGCCGCGUGAGUGAUGAAGGUCUUCGGAUCGUAAAACUCUGUUAUUAGGGAAGAACAUAUGUGUAAGUAACUGUGCACAUCUUGACGGUACCUAAUCAGAAAGCCACGGCUAACUACGUG
rnacentral:rRNA from 1 species